rnacentral:misc_RNA from 1 species
AAGCAUACAAUCCACACUUAAAGAAAAUACAAACAUACAAUCCAAACUAACACUCCAAACAAAGUUAAAAAAACUCAAAGCGCAGCCCUAUUGAACUAUCAUUUCACUAAACAACCAAAAUUCAUUCUCAAACCAAGCCAAAUCUAUAAAAUAGAAAGGAAAUGAAGAGAGAGGGAAAGACUGACUCCGCAAGGUCACCGAGCUGGCGCAAGACGCCAACG